rnacentral:lncRNA from 1 species
UAGCUUUAAAACGUUUUCUAUCUCGUUUUACGCUUGGAAAAACGAAAUAAAUGCUGAAGUUCAUUUAACAGAGUAUAUUUUAAUCUCAUUACAACAUCAAUAAUGUUAAAGGAACCGUAUGAAAUUGAAAACAGUCACAUAAACCUUUCACCUGAGGUCUAUUGGUGCCUGUAAAACACUAGUAGUGCAUAUAGAUCAUAGAUAGCUAUUUUCAAAGCAUGUAGUUGAUGCUAAUGUUUCAGCUGUAAGGCAUCAAACUCGAUUGCUCUAGGGCUGCAGCUCAAAUUGAACACACCUGAUGCACUAAUCAAAUUGAUCAAGACCUCCAGGUGUGAUUAGGAGCUGAGUUUGAGAUCACGGCUUUAAAGUAAGCAAAUGCAUGUCUACAAGACUCUAGGUCAAUUCUGACAAUUGAACACACCUGAUCCAGCUAAUCAAGGUGAUCAAGACCACCUGCUGUGAUUUGGAGCUGAUGUGAACCUGCUGGAGUUGAGUUAGAGAUGAUGGCUGAAGGUUAGCAAAUUCAUGUCUACAAGACUCUGAAUUAGUCCUGACAAUUAAACACACCUGAUCCAACUAAUCAAGGUGAUCGAGACCACCUGCUGUGAUUUGGAGCUGAUGUGGCCCUGCUGGAGUUGAGAUUGAGAGCACUGCCUCCAUUAAGGAAUGAACUGAUGUUAAAGCACCAUCUCAGAGAACAGACUGUCAGGACUAAACCCCAUGAACAACGUCACUGGAUUUGCUGGGAAAGAGGCCUUAAAGACAAAACAACAGAAAUGAAUGAGCAAAACAGACUACAUGUACUAAACACCAUGGACACCGUGACUGAAUUUGCUGAAAAAGGCCCUGAAGAAGAAGAACAAUACACCUAAAUGAAUUCACAAACAAACCCGGUUUUAUAUUACUGCAAAUGAGUGUGUGAAGGCCAGAGGA